CAAAUGAUCCACCUGCCUUGGCCUCUCGAAGUGCUGGGAUUGCAGGCAUGAGCCACCACGCCUGGCCUUCCUGGGACACCUUUACAGUGGGAAGCAAACAUUCACCAGAGCUGGGAGAAAAAAGCAUGCAAGAAUUGGAAUGAAGAGAUGCACUGGGCUGCUUCUGGACAAGCUGUCUGUCUAGGCAAGAGUCAGCAAAGUGGAUUGCCUUGCAUCAUGGCCAGGGUGUGUGCAUUCAACUUUGGCAGUCUUGGCCUGAGUGACAGAAUACUGGAAGGUCCUAAUAAGCUUCUCCAAUGAGCAUAGGCAGUGAUGGAACCAAACCAUCAAAAUGAGCUCUUCAAAGAAGAACCCAGGUUUUCCUCUUCAGCUGCAUAUGAUCAAUUCUAAUUAAAUGGUAAAGGAAAGAAGAAUAGAAGGAAAGAAUUCUUGAAAAUCUGGUAACUAACAUGGAAGCUGUGCUUUAUAUCAGGUUAUGUGAGUAAUCUUGAUCUGUCUACAAGCUCAAAGUUUCUAUCCAAAUAUAUUUAUCUGGAUCCGAGGCAGGAUCACUGCCAGGCUCUGUCACCUGCUCAGGAGAGUCACCUACCCAGUAUACAAGGGGAUAACCACAGGGCACACCGAAGCCAUUGCAGAACUUCCCAAGCUUGGGUCAGGCCUCCUGACUCUACACACGCACGUGUACUCCACCCAUUCCCAGCCUCCCAGCUUUCUUGACAAGUACCCAAGGAGGAUGGUUCUUGUCAACUCAUUGAUAAGGUCAUGGUAUUGUGGAGCAGGAGCUAACCUGUGUUCUAUUUUCAGCUCUCUUGUUAGCUGUGUGAGCUUGGGCAAGUGCCUCACCUUCUCUGAACCUGAGUUUUUGCAUCUGUUUAGGCCAUGAUAUUACCCUGCCUACCCCACAGUGUUAUCACGAAAUUCACAUGAACACACAUAUGAAGGUGCUUUGCAAACACUGUACAAGUGAAAUUGUAAGGUAUCCUGACUCAUGUGCUAAGGCCUUUUCAAGGCACAAGGACAAAUGUUUCCCAGGGAUCCUAUAGUUAGCCACUCUGAGGCAUUUUCCCUUAGGAGCCCAGCCCUGAGGGAAACUGGCUCAUGGCAGAUUUUUAAUCCGAACCCAGAGCUCUGGAGGCUUUAUAAUCCUAAAGACUAAACCAGGUGAACAACAAAAACAUCCAUAAAGCAAUUUGGGUAAAUUUCCAUGCUUCCAGGUAAUGCCUAGGUUUCUAAGGGGUUGCAUUUGUUUGUUCAGUCAUUCAAGAAUUUAUAGAUCAUCUUAACUCUGAGAUAAAGUGAAAAAAAGAGCUCAUGUUCCAGCAGAUGAGAAAGACAUGGAAACAGUCAUUGCAAGACACUGACAGGAGCCACAAACCAGGAGGACCAGGAAGAUAUCUG
rnacentral:lncRNA from 1 species